rnacentral:rRNA from 1 species
GACGAACGCUGGCGGCGUGCCUAAUACAUGCAAGUCGAACGAAACUUUCUUACACCGAAUGCUUGCAUUCACCGUAAGAAGUUGAGUGGCGGACGGGUGAGUAACACGUGGGUAACCUGCCUAAAAGAAGGGGAUAACACUUGGAAACAGGUGCUAAUACCGUAUAUCUCUAAGGAUCGCAUGAUUCUUAGAUGAAAGAUGGUUCUGCUAUCGCUUUUAGAUGGACCCGCGGCGUAUUAACUAGUUGGUGGGGUAACGGCCUACCAAGGUGAUGAUACGUAGCCGAACUGAGAGGUUGAUCGGCCACAUUGGGACUGAGACACGGCCCAAACUCCUACGGGAGGCAGCAGUAGGGAAUCUUCCACAAUGGACGCAAGUCUGAUGGAGCAACGCCGCGUGAGUGAAGAAGGUCUUCGGAUCGUAAAACUCUGUUGUUAGAGAAGAACACGAGUGAGAGUAACUGUUCAUUCGAUGACGGUAUCUAACCAGCAGGUCACGGCUAACUACGUGCCAGCAGCCGCGGUAAUACGUAGGUGGCAAGCGUUGUCCGGAUUUAUUGGGCGUAAAGGGAACGCAGGCGGUCUUUUAAGUCUGAUGUGAAAGCCUUCGGCUUAACCGGAGUAGUGCAUUGGAAACUGGAAGACUUGAGUGCAGAAGAGGAGAGUGGAACUCCAUGUGUAGCGGUGAAAUGCGUAGAUAUAUGGAAGAACACCAGUGGCGAAAGCGGCUCUCUGGUCUGUAAC